AGGGUGUGCUCCGAGCAGGGAGCCCAGAGUAUGGCUCCUCUGUUUACAACACACCCAACAGGAAUCUGGGGCCAUUGUGAUGAAGGGGCACAACAUUUGUGCCUUCUCUGGGAGCAAGUGCCCUACAGGU
ensembl:snoRNA